rnacentral:misc_RNA from 1 species
GAUGUAGAACGCAGCGAAAUGCGAUAAGUAGUGUGAAUUGCAGAAUUCAGUGAAUCAUCGAAUCUUUGAACGCACAUUGCGCCCCUUGGUAUUCCAUGGGGCAUGCCUGUUCGAGCGUCAUUUGUACCUUCAAGCUCUGCUUGGUGUUGGGUGUUUGUCUCGCCUCUGCGUGUAGACUCGCCUCAAAACAAUUGGCAGCCGGCGUAUUGAUUUCGGAGCGCAGUACAUCUCGCGCUUUGCACUCAUAACGACGACGUCCAAAAGUACAUUUUUACACUCUUGACCUCGGAUCAGGUAGGGAUACCCGCUGAACUUAAGCAUAUCAAUAAGCGGAGGA